rnacentral:rRNA from 1 species
GACAGAGGCCUCAAGCGUUAGGCGGAAUCACUGGGCUUAAAGCGUGUGUAGGCGGAUCGUUAAGUGCCUUGUGAAAUCCCACGGCUUAACUGUGGAACGGCUGGGCAUACUGGCGGUCUUGAGCCAUCUAGGGGCGACUGGAACAAAUGGUGGAGCGGUGAAAUGCGUAGAUAUCAGGAGGAACACCAAUGGCGAAGGCAGCUCGCUGGGACGUGACUGACGCUGAGACGCGAAAGCGUGGGGAGCAGACAGG